rnacentral:rRNA from 1 species
CCUACGGGAGGCAGCAGUGGGGGAUAUUGCACAAUGGGGGAAACCCUGAUGCAGCGACGCCGCGUGGGUGAAGAAGUAUUUCGGUAUGUAAAGCCCUAUCAGCAGGGAAGAAAGAAGACGGUACCUGACUAAGAAGCCCCGGCUAACUACGUGCCAGCAGCCGCGGUAAUACGUAGGGGGCGAGCGUUAUCCGGAUUCACUGGGUGUAAAGGGAGCGUAGACGGCCGUGCAAGCCAGGAGUGAAAGCCCGGGGCCCAACCCCGGGACUGCUCUUGGAACUGUGCGGCUGGAGUGCGGGAGGGGCAGGCGGAAUUCCUGGUGUAGCGGUGAAAUGCGUAGAUAUCAGGAGGAACACCGGCGGCGAAGGCGGCCUGCUGGACCGCGACUGACGUUGAGGCGCGAAAGCGUGGGGAGCGAACAGGAUUAGAUACCCGAGUAGUC